UCGGCUUAGAGUUUGAUCAUGGCUCAGAUUGAACGCUGGCGGCAUGCUUUACACAUGCAAGUCGAACGGCAAUGGGCUUCGGCCUGAGCGAGUGGCGAACGGGUGAGUAAUACAUCGGAACAUGCCUAGUUGUGGGGGACAACUACUCGAAAGAGUAGCUAAUACCGCAUAAGAUCUACGGAUGAAAGCAGUUCGUUGCGCAAUUAGAGUGGCCGAUGGCAGAUUAGGUAGUUGGUGAGGUAAAGGCUCACCAAGCCUGCGAUCUGUAGCUGGUCUGAGAGGACGACCAGCCACACUGGGACUGAGACACGGCCCAGACUCCUACGGGAGGCAGCAGUGGGGAAUUUUGGACAAUGGGCGCAAGCCUGAUCCAGCAAUGCCGCGUGCAGGACGAAGGCCUUCGGGUUGUAAACUGCUUUUGUACAGAACGAAAGUCACUGGGUAAUCCUGGUGCAUGACGGUACUGUAAGAAUAAGCACCGGCUAACUACGUGCCAGCAGCCGCGGUAAUACGUAGGGUGCAAGCGUUAAUCGGAAUUACUGGGCGUAAGGCGUGCGCAGGCGGCUAUGCAAGACUGAUGUGAAAUCCCCGGGCUCAACCUGGGAACUGCAUUAGUGACUGCAUAGCUGGAGUGCGGCAGAGGGGGAUGGAAUUCCGCGUGUAGCAGUGAAAUGCGUAGAUAUGCGGAGGAACACCGAUGGCGAAGGCAAUCCCCUGGGCCUCACUGACGCUCAU
rnacentral:rRNA from 1 species